rnacentral:rRNA from 1 species
UACAGAGGUCUCAAGCGUUGUUCGGAUUCACUGGGCGUAAAGGGUGCGUAGGUGGCGCUUCAAGUUUGAUGUGAAAGCUCAGGGCUUAACCCUGAAAUGGCAUUGAAUACUGGAGUGCUGGAGGGUUUGGAGGGGGGACUGGAAUUCUCGGUGUAGCAGUGAAAUGCGUAGAUAUCGAGAGGAACACCAGUGGCGAAGGCGAGUCCCUGGACAACACCUGACACUGAGGCACGAAAGCCGGGGGAGCAAACAGG